rnacentral:rRNA from 1 species
CAAUAGCGUAUAUUAAAGUUGUUGCAGUUAGAACGCUCGUAGUCGGAUUUCGGGGCGGGCCGACCGGUCUGCCGAUGGGUACGCACUGGUCGGCGCGUCCUUCCUUCCGGAGACCGUGCCUACUCUUAACUGAGCGGGGGCGGGAGACGGAACGUUUACUUUGAAAAAAUCAGAGUGUUUCAAGCAGGCAGUGCGCUCUUGCAUGGAUUAGCAUGGGAUAAUGAAAUAGGACUUUGGUGCUAUUUUGUUGGUUUCGAACACCGAAGUAAUGAUUAAAAGGGACAGUCAGGGGCACUCGUAUUCCGCCGAGAGAGGUGAAAUUCUCAGACCAGCGGAAGACGAACCACUGCGAAAGCAUUUGCCAGGGAUGUUUUCACUGA